rnacentral:rRNA from 1 species
GAUGAACGCUGGCGGCGUGCUUAACACAUGCAAGUCGAACGGAAAGGCCCAAGUUUGCUUGUGUACUCGAGUGGCGAACGGGUGAGAAACACGUGGGUGAUCCCCCCCGCACUUCGGGAUAAGCCGGGGAAACUGGGUCUAACACCGGAUAGGACAGUGGUUUGGAUGCCAUUGUGGAAAGUUUUUUGGGUGGGGGGUGAGCUCGGGGCCUAUCGGCUUUUUGGUGGGGUAAGGGUCUACCAAGGCGUCGACGGGGAGCCGGCCAGGGGGGGUGAACGGCCACAUUGGGACUGAGGUACGGCCCAGACUCCUACGGGAGGAAGCAGUGGGGAAGAUUGCACAAUGGGCGCAGGCCUGAUGCAGCAAGGCCGCGUGGGGGAUGACGGCCUUCGGGUUGUAAACUCCUUUCGCUAGGAACGAGGCGUUAUGUGACGGUACCUAGAUAAGAAGCACCGGCUAACUACGUG